GGUAGGGUGGUGUAAUGGUUUGAGUGCUGGACUAUGACUCUGAAGAGCAGGGUUCAAUUCCUUGCUUGGCCA